rnacentral:lncRNA from 1 species
AUGCUUCUAACUAAAAAUACUCUUACAAUAUUUCUUAGCAAAGUUGUAAUUUUAAUAAUACUUAAAUAAUAAAACUAAUUUAAUAAGAAAAAUCAAUAAGAAUUAAAAUUUUCAAUCAUAUUAUAGUAUAAUUUAUAUUUCUUAUAAAAUUGAGGAAGAGAAAGUGAUUAAUUAUAAACAAAAAUAGUAAUGAUGAAUGUCAUGAAA